UGCGUAGGUGGCGAGGUAAGUCGGAUGUGAAAGCUCGGAGCUCAACUCCGAAAUGGCAUUGGAAACUACCUUGCUCGAGGGAUGGAGGGGGGACUGGAAUUCUCGGUGUAGCAGUGAAAUGCGUAGAUAUCGAGAGGAACACCAGUGGCGAAGGCGAGUCCCUGGACAUCUCCUGACACUGAGGCACGAAAGCUAGGGAGCAAACA
rnacentral:rRNA from 1 species